rnacentral:rRNA from 1 species
UACAGAGGGUGCGAGCGUUGUCCGGAAUUACUGGGCGUAAAGGGCGCGUAGGCGGCUCGAUAAGUAGGAGGUGAAAUUUCGUGGCUCAACCACGAAACUGCCUUCUAGACUGUCAGGCUUGAGCACGGUAGAGGCAGAUGGAAUUCCCGGUGUAGCGGUGGUAUGCGUAGAGAUCGGGAAGAACACCAGUGGCGAAGGCGGUCUGCUGGGCCGUUGCUGACGCUGAGGCGCGACAGCGUGGGGAGCAAACAGG